CUAUAUGAUACAUACCCUGAUUCUCCUGUUCUCAGCCUCAUAGCUCCUGUCAUAGCUGUUCGCGUAUACUGGGGAAUACUGCGGGUUCCUGUCAAAGGCUGGUGAGGGCAGACACGGUCUCUUCUCUUCUUUAUUUGAUAGGUUACUUUUUUCGUCUUUUGUGUUGUUGAUUUUGCCGUAGAUGUUGUCUUUCUGGUCGUUGUUAACCUUAAAACACGAAAA